AGUACAAGUAAAAAGGCCCAAGGUGUACAAGAUGACCAACUUUCCUCCCAGAAAAUAUAUCAUUGUCUCUGGUGGUAAAAAUUGUAUAUAAUGCUGUCCUCAGACAAUAUGCCAGCAGCUAGAAGAUCUAGCCUGUUUCAGGCUACUAGAGGAUCAAGAUCUUGACAUUGUAUGAUGCUUGAGAAAUGGUCUGCCCCUUACUAGAAUAUAAAAAGAGCAAAGUUUCCCUCUGAGUCUUAAUUUUCAAGGCACUGGGAGGAGAGACAUAAAUUGGCCCCCAUCAAAAAACUUUGCUGGGUAAAUGGUUGCCAUGCGGAAUGCAGGAGGAAGUCAGACAUGAGUAAAUAAUAUGAAAACGGUGGAGUUUACAGGCUUUCUUCCAAAAAAAUUUGAAAAAAAAGGAAUCAUGAAAUUCCUAAUCCAUGGGGGAGUGAAUUUCUUAUAUGUAAAUUUUUUUAAAAUGUCUGCUGUGAAAAAAAGUGCGGGAUCAGUCCCCCCCUGAUGCUACAACUGCCCGACUAAGACUGAACCUAGAGCAGCAGGAACCCUGCUCCAAAGGAAGGAUAUAGAAUAAAAGAAGCCAGUAACAAUUAAGAAGGGGAAGUUGAUCAUCGUGGAAUAUCGUGAUAGGGAAGCCCCUUGAAGGUUGCAGAGCAUAGGGACCAAAAUGACAUGGCUGAACCUUAACCUACCCUCUGCCUACCAAACCUCCCUGAGGCGGGUAACUCUGAAGAGUUGCAGUCCUGCUUCAAGUGGCUGUGUAAUAGUAUAUAGGGCUGUAACUGGGAGAGCGAGAGCAUUAGUGAAGAAGAGGAUCAAGGAUGGAGACCAAACAGAACUGGAGCAAAAUAGAGACCACAGUUGAAGAGCCAUGAACUAGAGUGCGAGUUGAGGAGACUACAAUCCAUGGACAAACUUUUUUGAGGAGUGAAUGUGACUGUGAUGGAAUGUGUACAUAUGUGAAAGUUGGGACAUUAUUGAUUUUAAAUGUUUUUAAAAAAAAAGUUGAUAUUAUAAGUGAUUAAUUGAAUAUCUUUAUCUUAAAAGGUUUGAUAUUAUAAUUAUGUACAUAAUAUCACU
rnacentral:sRNA from 1 species